AUUGAACGCUAGCGGCAGGCCUAACACAUGCAAGUCGAGCGAUCGGCGGACGGGUGUGUAAUGUUUCUGGACUGCCCGAUAGAGGGGGAUAACUACUGUAAACGGUAGCUAAUACCGCUUACUAUCGUAUAACCCAUCUGGGAUUAGCUAGUAGGUGAGGUAAUGGCUCACCUAGGCGACGAUCCCUAGCUGGUCUGAGAGGAUGAUCAGCCACACUGGGACUGAGACACGGCCCAGACUCCUACGGAGGCAGCAGUGGGGAAUAUUGCACAAUGGGCGCAAGCCUGAUGCAGCCAUGCCGCGUGUAUGAAGAAGGCCCUAGGGUUGUAAAGUACUUUCAGUGGGGAGGCGUUACCGACAGAAGAAGCACCGGCUAACUCCGUGCCAGCAGCCGCGGUAAUUG
rnacentral:rRNA from 1 species